AAGCGGUGGAGCAUGUGUUUAAUUCGAGGCUACACGGAAGAACCGUUUACCAGGGUUUGACGAUGCAAGUGGUAGGAAUCCGAAGGUGCCGACCCUUCGGGAGCUUGCACAGGUGCUGCAUGGCUGUCGUCAGCUCGUGUCGUGAGAUGUUCGGUUAAGUCCGCUAACGAGCGCAACCCUCGUCGUGUGUUAUACGUGUCACACGAUACUGCCGGUAUCAAGCCGGAGGAAGGUGGGGAUGAUGUCAAGUCAGCAUGGCCUUUAUAUCCUGGGCUACACACACGCUACAAUGGCAGAUACAAUAGGUUGCGAAACCGCGAGGUGGAGCCAAUCCUCAAAGUCUGUCUCAGUUCAGAUUGUAGGCUGCAACUCGCCUGCAUGAAGUUGGAGUUGCUAGUAAACGCAGGUCAGCUAUACUGCGUUGAAUACGUUCCCGGGGUUU
rnacentral:rRNA from 1 species